GACGAACGCUGGCGGCGUGCUUAACACAUGCAAGUCGAACGGAAAGGCCCUGCUUUUUUGGGGUGCUCGAGUGGCGAACGGGUGAGUAACACGUGAGUAACCUGCCCUUGACUUUGGGAUAACUUCAGGUAACUGGGGCUAAUACCGGAUCGUAGCUCCUGCUGCAUGGUGGGGGUUGGAAAGUUUCGUCGGUUGGUGAUGGACUCGCGGCUUAUCAGCUUGUUGGUGGGGUAGUGGCUUACCCAGGCUUUGACGGGUAGCCGGCCUGUGAGGGUGACCGGCGACAAUGGGACUGAGAGACGGCCCAGACGCCAACGGGAGGCAGCAGGGGGGAGUAUUGCGCAGUGGGCGGAAGCCUGAUGAAGAAACGCCGCGUGCGGGAUGACGGCCUUCGGGUUGUAAACCGCUUUCGCCUGUGACGAAGAGUGAGUGACGGUAAUGGGUAAAGAAGCACCGGCUAACUACGUG
rnacentral:rRNA from 1 species